rfam:Lichtheimia corymbifera JMRC:FST:9682, FST 9682, WGS project CBTN01000000 data, contig: SCAF00074
GGUGGUGUGGCGAAAUGGACUAACGCGUCGGUUUCCGGAGCCGAAGAUUGUGGGUUCGAGUCCCAUCACCAUCG